rnacentral:piRNA from 1 species
GAGCUGGGAGAAGUUCACUCUGA